rnacentral:piRNA from 1 species
UCGUUAGAGAGGAAGAGACGAAGCUUCAGC